rnacentral:lncRNA from 1 species
GGGGAAUUUGUGAGGUAGGCCGGAAGUGGUGUUGCGGAGGGAACUGUGGGGAGAGCAGAGGGGCAGCUCUGCUGGAGAGACCUGAGGCUUGCAUCGCUGGGCCCGGCCGGGUCGCUGCGGCUGGGCUGGAGGUCAAGGAUGCAUUCCAGGAAAGUUCUAUAAAAAUAUACCAUCAACUCCAACCUGAUAUUUGACCUAGCCAUGGAAAACCUCAUUGGCUCCUCACUGGAUCAGACCAUAAAAAUGAUCCAGGAAUGAAAAUCUAAGAUAAAUUCCCACCACUUCAAGAUGUUCUUAUACAAGUCAACAGUCUAGCAGAUCAGCCAGUCUCUUUCAUCAUCAAGCAGACAUACUCAAGGUACCAACACAGCAAAGGCACAAAAUGUCUCUAUAUCAGUAUUUUUCAUGGUAUAUGUGAGACCCAUUAGUGAGGCAUGAAAUCAAUUCUGUGAGUCACAAUGAACAUUUUUCUAAAAAACAAAAUAAAAUGUAAAAUACCAAAGUGUUUUGCAUGAAUCCUUUGCCUGAAUUGUGCACACUGCAAGGAAUGCUGAGGUCAAUUUCAAUAUGCGAGAGGGGUAUUUGAUGGAGGAGAUACGAUGAAUAGAAUGUAUAUUGGCUAAGAAAUGGUUUUCAGUCGUUGAUUCCUGGGUGUCUUGCUUGAUUUUCAUAAUAGCAAGGUUAAUGUUCUAUAGUCAAGUUUUAUAUUACAAUUACUUGCAACUAGUUGUGAAGUCUGAAAUAUUCGAUUCAAUUGCAAACUUUGAGUGUAGUUUUUGAAAAGAUGUUAUUUAGACUGUAUAUUUUUUUCUUCUUUUUUGAGUUAGUGCCAAUUAUAACAUUUUAAUCAAACUGGAACAAAUUGCUAUUAAAAUGGAUCAUUUCUUUAUUAAAAGAAAGAGGAAUAGUGAAGUGAAAUACACAGAAGCAUGUUCAAGUUCAUCUGUUGAAUCUGGAAUUGUGAAUAGUGACAAUAUUGAGAAAAAUACUGACUCCAAUCUGCAAACUUCAACUUCAUUUGAGCCACAUUUCAAAAAGAAAAAAGUAAGUGCAAGACGUUAUAAUGAAGAUUACUUAAAAUAUGGCUUUAUCAAAUGUGAAAAACCCUUUGAAAAUGACAGACCUCAGUGUGUUAUUUGUAAUAAUAUUCUUGCGAAUGAAAGCUUAAAACCUUCGAAAUUAAAAAGGCACUUAGAAACUCAGCAUGCUGAACUUAUUGAUAAGCCUCUUGAAUAUUUUCAAAGAAAGAAAAAAGACAUAAAGUUAUCAACACAAUUUCUUAGUUGUUCUACUGCUGUUAGUGAGAAAGCCUUAUUAUCAUCAUAUUUAGUUGCAUAUCGUGUGGCAAAAGAGAAAAUAGCUAACACAGCUGCUGAAAAAAUUAUUCUUCCAGCAUGUUUGGAUAUGGUGCGUACAAUAUUUGAUGAUAAAUCAGCUGAUAAAUUAAAAACUAUACCUAAUGAUAACACAGUAUCUCUUCGAAUUUGUACUAUUGCAGAACAUUUAGAAACAAUGCUUAUUACUCGUUUACAGUCUGGUAUAGAUUUUGCAAUCCAGCUUGAUGAAAGCACUGAUAUUGGAAGCUGCACAACACUUUUAGUUUAUGUCAGAUAUGCGUGGCAAGAUGAUUUUUUGGAGGAUUUUUUGUGUUUUUUAAAUUUAACCUCACACCUAAGUGGUUUAGAUAUUUUUACAGAAUUAGAAAGGCACAUAGUUGGCCAAUAUAAAUUAAACUGGAAAAACUGUAAAGGAAUUACAAGUGAUGGCACAGCAACCAUGACUGGAAAACAUAGCAGAGUAAUUAAAAAAUUACUAGAAGUUACUAAUAAUGGUGCUGUGUGGAAUCAUUGUUUUAUACAUCGUGAAGGUUUAGCAUCCAGAGAAAUUCCACAGAAUCUCAUGGAAGUAUUGAAAAAUGCAGUGAAAGUUGUUAAUUUUAUUAAAGGAAGCUCAUUGAAUAGCCGGCUUCUUGAAACAUUUUGUUCAGAGAUUGGAACUAAUCAUACCCACUUACUAUAUCAUACCAAAAUUCGUUGGUUGUCUCAAGGGAAAAUACUAAGCAGGGUUUAUGAGCUCAGGAAUGAGAUUCACUUUUUUCUCAUUGAAAAAAAAUCUCAUUUGGCAAGUAUUUUUGAAGAUGAUACUUGGGUAACAAAAUUGGCAUAUUUAACUGAUAUUUUUAGCAUUCUUAAUGAACUGAGUUUAAAACUACAGGGGAAAAACAGUGAUGUAUUCCAACAUGUUGAACAUAUCCAGGGAUUUCGAAAGACAUUAUUGUUAUGGCAAGUAAGACUUAAAAGUAAUCGUCCUAGCUAUUACAUGUUUCCAAGAUUUUUGCAGCAUAUUGAAGAGAAUAUUAUUAAUGAAAACAUUUUGAAAGAAAUAAAAUUAGAGAUAUUGUUGCAUCUCACUUCUCUGUCUCAAACUUUUAACCAUUUCUUUCCAGAAGAAAAAUUUGAAACAUUAAGGGAAAACAGUUGGGUAAAAGAUCCAUUUGCUUUUCGAAACCCUGAAUCAAUAAUUGAGCUAAACUUGGUGCCUGAAGAAGAGAAUGAAUUAUUGCAGCUUAGUUCUUCAUAUACAUUGAAGAAUGAUUAUGAAACCUUAAGUUUAUCAGCAUUUUGGAUGAAGGUAAAGGAAGACUUUCCAUUGUUAAGUAGAAAGAGUGUCCUGCUAUUGCUACCAUUCACAACAACUAGUUUGUGUGAACUAGGGUUUUCCAUCUUAACGCAGUUAAAAACAAAGGAAAGAAAUGGGCUGAAUUGUGCAGCAGCUAUGCGGGUAGCAUUAUCUUCCUGUGUUCCAGACUGGAAUGAACUUAUGAACAGGCAAGCACACCCAUCAUAGUAAAUAAAAAUCUUACCUAGCUUUUGUCUUUGUAUUUCUUAUUUUGUAGUAUUUUUCUAUGUUAUAUUUAAAUGGUACUAUAAUAUUG